AGUCUUCUCCAUGGCCAGCUGAGUACAGGUCUGGGCACACGGUGCCGGGAAGCCUGGUCAGACAGAAUAGAAUGGGGCAGAGACAGCCAGAUGAAUCCUGUAGGAGCAUCAGCCACCAUAUAAAGAAGUCCAGGCUAUCCUGCCCAGAGACCACACAGAGGAGAACCAAGGCACCUCUGCUGACAACCAGCACCAACUGCCAGCCAUGUGAAUGAGCCUGUUUGGAAGAGGACCCUCCAGCCCCAAUCAAGCCUUGAGAUGAUGCAGCCCUGACCAAUAUACCUGCAACCCACGAAGGACCCCAGGCCUGGACCACCCAGCUAAGCUGCUCCUGGAUUCCUGACCCUCAGAAACUGCGAUAUAAUAAAUGUCUGUUUUAGACCACUUAAGUUUAGAGGUAAUUUGUUAUGCAGCAAUGGAUAACUGAUACACUUGGCCAGUCUCAUUGUCUGGAAUCUCAGCAUCAGAACUUCACCUAUGGGCAGGUUAAGUCACUGUCUUCUCCGUGUCUCUCCCCAGCCCUGAGAUAAAUAAGAACUGGCUAAUGCUGAUUUGCUGAGUCAGAUCAUGGGUAGAAGACACCUCUGAUUUGGUUAGGUGAUGUCAUUCUGGGAAUGGUAUGUGGCCACUUAAUCAUUCUGAACACCCACAGGCCAGGGGUGGUUAACAAAGAGCAGUUUUGACAGAGUUGUGUGACUUCACAGCUUUCCUAUAGUCAGCUUCUAGAAAAGGCACCCCCUGCUUAAGGGGCAGGGCUGUCUUGAGGAUGAGGGCUUGAGGAGAGCUGGGCUCUGACUGGAGUAGGGCCCAGGUUCCACAGAUCCUGUCUU
rnacentral:lncRNA from 1 species